ACGAACGCUGGCGGCGUGCUUAACACAUGCAAGUCGAACGGAAAGGCCCUGCUUUUGUGGGGUGCUCGAGUGGCGAACGGGUGAGUAACACGUGAGUAACCUGCCCUUGACUUUGGGAUAACUUCAGGAAACUGGGGCUAAUACCGGAUAGGAGCUCCUGCUGCAUGGUGGGGGUUGGAAAGUUUCGGCGGUUGGGGAUGGACUCGCGGCUUAUCAGCUUGUUGGUGGGGUAGUGGCUUACCAAGGCUUUGACGGGUAGCCGGCCUGAGAGGGUGACCGGCCACAUUGGGACUGAGAUACGGCCCAGACUCCUACGGGAGGCAGCAGUGGGGAAUAUUCCACAAUGGGCGGAAGCCUGAUGCAGCAACGCCGCGUGCGGGAUGACGGCCUUCGGGUUGUAAACCGCUUUCGCCUGUGACGAAGCGUGAGUGACGGUAAUGGGUAAAGAAGCACCGGCUAACUACGUG
rnacentral:rRNA from 1 species